rnacentral:rRNA from 1 species
GAUGAACGCUGGCGGCGUGCCUAAUACAUGCAAGUCGAGCGAACAGACGAGGAGCUUGCUCCUCUGACGUUAGCGGCGGACGGGUGAGUAACACGUGGAUAACCUACCUAUAAGACUGGGAUAACUUCGGGAAACCGGAGCUAAUACCGGAUAAUAUAUUGAACCGCAUGGUUCAAUAGUGAAAGACGGUUUUGCUGUCACUUAUAGAUGGAUCCGCGCCGCAUUAGCUAGUUGGUAAGGUAACGGCUUACCAAGGCGACGAUGCGUAGCCGACCUGAGAGGGUGAUCGGCCACACUGGACCUGAGACGCGGUCCAGACUCCUACGGGAGGCAGCAGUAGGGAAUCUUCCGCAGUGGGCGAAAGCCUGACGGAGCAACGCCGCGUGAGUGAUGAAGGUCUUCGGAUCGUAAAACUCUGUUAUUAGGGAAGAACAAAUGUGUAAGUAACUAUGCACGUCUUGACGGUACCUAAUCAGAAAGCCACGGCUAACUACGU